UUUUGGACAAUGGGGGCAACCCUGAUCCAGCCAUGCCGCGUGAGUGAAGAAGGCCUUCGGGUUGUAAAGCUCUUUCGGACGGAACGAAAUGGGCGGGACUAAUACUCCUGUCUGAUGACGGUACCGUAGGAAGAAGCACCGGCUAACUACGUGCCAGCAGCCGCGGUAAUACGUAGGGUGCGAGCGUUAAUCGGAAUUACUGGGCGAAAGCGUGCGCAGGCGGUUUCGAAGCUGGAGGUAAAUCCCCGGGCUAACCUGGGAAUGGCCUUCAGACUGCAGGCAGGGUGCGGCAGGGGGGGGUGAAUUCCACGUGAGCAGUAAAUGCGAGGAUGUGGGGAACACCAUGGCAAGGAGCCUCCUGGCCCGACUGCGUAGUGCAA
rnacentral:rRNA from 1 species